rnacentral:lncRNA from 1 species
UGGGCUCCUCCUGCCUUGGCCUCCCAAAGCACUGGGAUUACAGAUGUGAGCUGCCAUACCUGGCCAAAAAUUUUCAAAUAAGUAAAAACAGAAACCUUAACUAAAGGAAGGUUUGAAAAGAUAGAUUUGAAGCAGAGGGAAGAUGAUUCUAGAUACAUGGUACAUGCAUCCAGUAGGAAAAUCAAGAACACCAGCAUUCUGAGAAGUUCUCUGAGGCAAAACUUGCUUACCACUUGGGUGUCUGUCUGGCUUUUCCUUCUUUUUGGGAUCUAUAGAUUCUUAUUUUUGUGCCAACCCAGCAAUGGCUUUAGAAAGUUGUUACUAAAAAUAUUUUCUUCUGCAUUUGAGUUCUUUCAUUUGGGCAAGAUUGCUUAGGUAUCUAACCCACCCCACCUGCAGGAAAUAAAAGUCCUCCAAAAAAAUUUCUAAUUUAGGGAAACUCUCCUUCAGUCUAUGUGGAGCCCAUGUUCCCCGUCCUCAUGGUACAAUGUGCCUUUCCCUUGUAACACAAACACCAUCUAUAGUUUUACACUUAUCUGGAGUGAGAUGGGCUACCAUUAUGUCUUGGGUUUACCAAUUAUCUUCAUGCUAUUUAAAUUAAUUUUCUACUUACGCCUUUAGAAAUGUAAGGGCCAGAUAUGUGUUGCUUUCUAUUUUGUUUCCAGACUUUAGCAAGUGCCUGGAACAUAGCAGGUAUUCAGAGGACAUUUACUGAGUAAAUGAUUAGGUGAGUAAUUAAUUAUAAGUGAAAAGCCAAAAUGAGGUAUUAGGUCAAGCAUAGCUAUGUGUCUCCGCUUCAAAUCCAGCCAUAAGCUGAUAAUUGCAGUUCAUAAGUAUGAUAAUUGGGUGCUCACGCAUGCGUGUGUGAGAUGUGUCACCCUCAAACCUUGUUAUGACGUCAGCACAUUACCCGUCUAACAUGAACUUAGAAGAAGCAAAACCAAAAACAAAUCCAGCCAUUGGAGAUGGUGCUUUCA